GCCCUUACGGCCAGGGCUACACACGUGCUACAAUGGCAUAUACAAAGAGAAGCGACCUCGCGAGAGCAAGCGGACCUCAUAAAGUAUGUCGUAGUCCGGAUUGGAGUCUGCAACUCGACUCCAUGAAGUCGGAAUCGCUAGUAAUCGUAGAUCAGAAUGCUACGGUGAAUACGUUCCCGGGCCUUGUACACACCGCCCGUCACACCAUGGGAGUGGGUUGCAAAAGAAGUAGGUAGCUUAACCUGCGGGAGGGCGCUUACCACUUUGUGAUUCAUGACUGGGGUGAAGUCGUAACAAGGUAACCGUAGGGGAACCUGCGGUUGGAUCACCUCCUUACCUUAAAGAA
rnacentral:rRNA from 1 species